UACGUAGGGUGCAAGCGUUGUCCGGAUUUAUUGGGCGUAAAGAGCUCGUAGGCGGUCUGUCGCGUCGGAUGUGAAAACCCAGGGCUCAACCCUGGGCCUGCAUUCGAUACGGGCAGACUAGAGUACGGCAGGGGAGACUGGAAUUCCUGGUGUAGCGGUGAAAUGCGCAGAUAUCAGGAGGAACACCGGUGGCGAAGGCGGGUCUCUGGGCCGUAACUGACACUCAGGGACGAAAGCUAGGGGAGCGAAUGGG
rnacentral:rRNA from 1 species